GAUGAACGCUGGCGGCGUGCCUAAUACAUGUAAGUCGAGCGAACAGACGAGGAGCUUGCUCCUCUGACGUUAGCGGCGGACGGGUGAGUAACACGUGGAUAACCUACCUAUAAUACUGGGAUAACUUCGGGAAACCGGAUCUAAUACCGGAUAAUAUAUUGAACCGCAUGGUUCAAUAGUGAAAGACGGUUUUGCUGUCACUUAUAGAUGGUUCCGCGCCGCAUUAGCUAGUUGGUAAGGUAACGGCUUACCAAGGCAACGAUGCGUAGCCGACCUGAGAGGGUGAUCGGCCACACUGGAACUGAGACACGGUCCAGACUCCUACGGGAGGCAGCAGUAGGGAAUCUUCCGCAAUGGGCGAAAGCCUGACGGAGCAACGCCGCGUGAGUGAUGAAGGUCUUCGGAUCGUAAAACUCUGUUAUUAGGGAAGAACAAAUGUGUAAGUAACUAUGCACGUCUUGACGGUACCUAAUCAGAAAGCCACGGCUAACUACGUG
rnacentral:rRNA from 1 species